GCACGAAAGGCGUAACGAUUUGGGCACUGUCUCAACGAGAGACUCGGUGAAAUCAUAGUACCUGUGAAGAUGCAGGUUACCCGCGACAGGACGGAAAGACCCCGUGGAGCUUUACUGUAGCCUGAUAUUGAAAUUCGGCACAGCUUGUACAGGAUAGGUAGGAGCCUUUGAAACGUGAGCGCUAGCUUACGUGGAGGCGUUGGUGGGAUACUACCCUAGCUGUGUUGGCUUUCUAACCCGCACCACUUAUCGUGGUGGGAGACAGUGUCAGGCGGGCAGUUUGACUGGGGCGGUCGCCUCCUAAAAGGUAACGGAGGCGCUCAAAGGUUCCCUCAGAAUGGUUGGAAAUCAUUCAUAGAGUGUAAAGGCAUAAGGGAGCUUGACUGCGAGACCUACAAGUCGAGCAGGGUCGAAAGACGGACUUAGUGAUCCGGUGGUUCCGCAUGGAAGGGCCAUCGCUCAACGGAUAAAAGCUACCCCGGGGAUAACAGGCUUAUCUCCCCCAAGAGUUCACAUCGACGGGGAGGUUUGGCACCUCGAUGUCGGCUCAUCGCAUCCUGGGGCUGUAGUCGGUCCCAAGGGUUGGGCUGUUCGCCCAUUAAAGCGGUACGCGAGCUGGGUUCAGAACGUCGUGAGACAGUUCGGUCCCUAUCCGUCGUGGGCGUAGGAAAUUUGAGAGGAGCUGUCCUUAGUACGAGAGGACCGGGAUGGACAUACCUCUGGUGUACCAGUUGUCGUGCCAACGGCAUAGCUGGGUAGCUAUGUAUGGACGGGAUAAGUGCUGAAAGCAUCUAAGCAUGAAGCCCCCCUCAAGAUGAGAUUUCCCAACUUCGGUUAUAAGAUCC
rnacentral:rRNA from 1 species